rnacentral:rRNA from 1 species
UACGUAGGCAGCGAGCGUUGUUCGGAGUUACUGGGCGUAAAGAGUGCGUAGGCGGUUUUCUAAGUUUGGUGCGAAAUCUCCCGGCUCAACUGGGAGGGUGCGCCGAAGACUGGAAGGCUUGAGUAUGGGAGAGGUAAGCGGAAUUCCUGGUGUAGCGGUGAAAUGCGUAGAUAUCAGGAGGAACACCUGCGGUGUAGACGGCUUACUGGACCAUAACUGACGCUGAGGCACGAAAGCGUGGGUAGCAAACAGG